GCCGAAGUGGUGAAACUGGCAGACACGCAGCGUUCAGAGCGCUGUGGGCGCAAGCCCGUGGGAGUUCAACUCUCCCCUUCGGCA
rnacentral:tRNA from 1 species